rnacentral:rRNA from 1 species
GACACGGGCGGGGUCUACCAUGCAGUCGAACGAUGAAGCCCAGCUUGCUGGGUGGAUUAGUGGCGAACGGGUGAGUAACACGUGAGUAACCUGCCCUUAACUCUGGGAUAAGCCUGGGAAACUGGGUCUAAUACCGGAUAGGAGCGCCUACCGCAUGGUGGGUGUUGGAAAGAUUUAUCGGUUUUGGAUGGACUCGCGGCCUAUCAGCUUGUUGGUGAGGUAAUGGCUCACCAAGGCGACGACGGGUAGCCGGCCUGAGAGGGUGACCGGCCACACUGGGACUGAGACACGGCCCAGACUCCUACGGGAGGCAGCAGUGGGGAAUAUUGCACAAUGGGCGCAAGCCUGAUGCAGCGACGCCGCGUGAGGGAUGACGGCCUUCGGGUUGUAAACCUCUUUCAGUAGGGAAGAAGCGAAAGUGACGGUACCUGCAGAAGAAGCACCGGCUAACUACGUGCCAGCAGCCGCGGUAAUACGUAGGGUGCGAGCGUUAUCCGGAAUUAUUGGGCGUAAAGAGCUCGUAGGCGGUUUGUCGCGUCUGUCGUGAAAGUCCGGGGCUUAACCCCGGAUCUGCGGUGGGUACGGGCAGACUAGAGUGCAGUAGGGGAGACUGGAAUUCCUGGUGUAGCGGUGGAAUGCGCAGAUAUCAGGAGGAACACCGAUGGCGAAGGCAGGUCUCUGGGCUGUAACUGACGCUGAGGAGCGAAAGCAUGGGGAGCGAACAGGAUUAGAUACCCUGGUAGUCCAUGCCGUAAACGUUGGGCACUAGGUGUGGGGACCAUUCCACGGUUUCCGCGCCGCAGCUAACGCAUUAAGUGCCCCGCCUGGGGGAGUACGGCCGCAAGGCUAAAACUCAAAGGAAUUGACGGGGGCCCGCACAAGCGGCGGAGCAUGCGGAUUAAUUCGAUGCAACGCGAAGAACCUUACCAAGGCUUGACAUGUUCUCGAUCGCCGUAGAGAUACGGUUUCCCCUUUGGGGCGGGUUCACAGGUGGUGCAUGGUUGUCGUCAGCUCGUGUCGUGAGAUGUUGGGU